rnacentral:rRNA from 1 species
UCGAAGGUAGCAUAAUCAGUAGUUUUUUAAUUGAAAACUUGUAUGAAGGGUUUAACGAAAUAUAAGCUGUUUCAUAAAAAUUUAUAUAGAAAUUAAUUUUUUAGUUAAAAAGCUAAAAUAAUUUUAAGGGACGAGAAGACCCUAUAGAGUUUAAUAUUUAUUUAAUUUUAAUUUAUUUAUAAUUAUAAAAAUUUAAUUUAAUAUAAUAUUUUGUUGGGGUGACAGUAAAAAUUUUUUAUCUUUUAUUAUUAUUUAUCAAUGAUUUUUGAACAAUUGAUCCAUUUUUAUUGAUUAAAAGAUUAAAUUACCUUAGGGAUAACAGCGUAAUUUUUUUGUAGAGUUCUUAUUAAUAAAAAAUUUUGCGACCUCGAUG